CUUUACUUUGUAGAGUCUUCCCUCUCUUCUUUUUACCAAUUGCUUUUACCAAACUCAUUAUUAUGUGUCUUCUGUCUUCCACCACCACCCUCUUUAACUAAUCAUCAUAUGUUCCUAACUAAAUAUGAAUCCAUUUCCUUCCACAAUUGUUCUUCUUCACAGCAAAAUCAACACACCAUAUGGCAAAACUAACCAAUAUGCCUAAGAACAUAGAGAAGUAAAGAGUGGUAGCAGUGGCAAUAUCAGCAUAUGCUCCUAGCAAACAUAAGUAAGAUGUUACUUUUCUGUAUAAUCUUUAAGUACACAACUUUUUUAUAUUUCUUCAUGUUUCUUGUUAUGUUUAGCUCUAAUGGAGAUUAAGUUGUGUCUUAUGGCAUAAUACAUGAAUGCCAAACUUGCAAUAACUUGGUUUGCUUUUGGCAUUGGCUAUCUAUAGUUCUUUUUUUAGUUCUCUUACGAAAAUUGGGUUGGGAAAGUAAAUUGCAAAAAUUUAGUGUGGUUCUAAGGUUUCUAUCAAUUGUUAUAAAAGCUUUCCAAUAUGUCUAUCAGUCACGGCACGAGUGGUGAUGCCAGCAUUGCAGUGUUCACCCGAAAAUGGUCAAAGGGUGUAUGGCUGCAGCAAUCUGCAUGCGCAUUGGGGCUGUGGAGCAUGGUGGGAUGUUAGGAUCAAACCUUUGUUUGAAGAAAUAUAUAUAGUUAGUUGUGUGCAAAAUCCAGGUUAGAAAGAACACAACACAAACAGUAUCUGCACACCAAAGCCAAAAUGCAGUUCCACCCCAAUUAUAAUUAUGUUCAAGUACAUCAGAAUUCAGAACCAUAAAAGAAAAAAAGAAUAUUUAUUCUAUAAUCUAUGCACACCAAAAACAACAACUAGGAAUCCAGUUUCCUGCUGUUAAUCCUUUUACUCUCAUUUUUUUUCCAUUUCUCUCUUCUAUCUAUGUUUAUGUUCAAUGUGUAGUCGGAUAGGCGAAUUGCCGAGAUAUACACACACUCAGGAUGACUAAUAAAACACAGCAAGCUCUGUACAAAAAGAAAAAAAGCAAACCAAAGACCAAAAGCUGGAUUAGAGAAAAAAACAAACCCAGAAUAAUAUCAAAGAAAAGAAACCAAAGAAUGACACACUAAGCACUCUAGUUUUAGGUGCAAGUGUCAAGAAAAGAACACUGUUAAGUGUGCCGAAGACCCUUAGAAUGUGCCGUAACAGUCUAAGGGAGGGUAUGGCUUUCAAAAUUUUAGGCUGAACCAAAACUGCAAUCUUUCUCAAACCAGGUGGAGAAGAACUCAACAAGCUAGAUUGCUGAGGGUGGGGAGAAAAGAUUUAGAAAGGGGAAAGGACACGUAAAUAUUUGUAUAUCGGUCGAAUUAGAGAUUAAUAUAAACUAUGUAGUAGGGUUCUUUUGCAGAGUGGUGGUUGUGAGGUGUUGGCACUUAGGUUGAGGGAUGGAGACUCCAUUCCAAGUGUUUUCAUAAGGAAGCUCCUUUCCUGUCAAAUUGAAGAGAAAAUUGGGUCAAAGAAAGAAGAAAAAUGCUUGAAGUUAAUUAAAUUUUUUGCAUGAAAAAUUCUAACUAACAUGCAGCUCAUAUACUCAACCAGGAAUAGAAAAACAGUAAAUUGGCUAAAAUGUUUGAUGAACAAGCAUGGUACACUCUGUAAUAUUUUAUGUCUAAGUGUGUGCUUAAUAAAAUAAUGUGACACUAGUUUCAAAUUUAAAGCUAUUGUCUUGAAUCAUUUGAGGUAUGAAAUAUAAUUGAUCUUCCUAAAACAAGAUCUGUAGGCUACAAAAUCUAUAAGAGAAGCAUUAAGAACCUAUAAUUGCAUGAGUAUCACAAGUUUAUGUCAUCACAAAACUACCUUCUACUGCUUAAAUAUCCCCAUUAUUCUUACUACUCAAGUUGAUCUAAUAAUAAACGGCAUUCCGAAAGUCCUGCCACUGAUACUAUUACUUCUGUAAUCUAUCUAUUGCCCAUAAUUGUUUAAUCUCAGUGCUUUGUUAACUUACACUUUCUGAAAAAUGUGGGCUAGGAAUUCCUGCAGUUAAGGAUCUGAACAUAGGGGUAACUUGAAGAGGGGAACUGAACUCUGCACUUGAUAAGGCAGAAGCAAUGCCAUCAUUGUUUAUCGGCUCCUUACAUGAUGGAAAUAUAUCUGCUACAGAAAGAUAUGUAUCUAAUGAGAUAUUCUGAUUCAUCAAAAUGUUAGGAUAGCAUAUAAAAACUUUCAUUUUGAUGAAACUAUAAAACAUAAGUUCUUAGCUGGAAAAUCUCUAGUUUAGGAUCAGUUAAUCAUUUAAGUUAGGUCAAUAAGUGGCUACAAGUUAACCACACCGAUCAUCAUUUACACCGAAAAGUGGUUCGUUGUUCCUAAACUGGAAAUACUUUUCACAAAAUAUUUUCCGAAACUUGAUUAUCUUACCUUGAUUCAUUGUUGCACUAGAAAAGACCCCUUGAUCACAUCCUCUAACUCCUCCUUGGUCUCCAUUUUGAAUAGACUUCAGUUCAAUAUCUUGAUGUAUAGAGUGUUCCAAAUUCUCACAACAUGAAUUAGGCAGAAAAGUUGAUUCUGUACUGUGUUCAGAACUGCCUAGAGAGUCUUCACACAGUUCCAUUUGCCUAGAAUAGAUUAAGAAACUAUUAGAUAUCAUUCUAUAUAGCCCUCGUGAAGUUAUCUUUUCAAUGAACUUAAAAUUACCUCAAACAUGGUUGGAUUCCCUCUCUACUACUCCUUAAGUCCUCCAACAAAUCUUUAAGAUCUACAAGCUGUAAAUCUGGAAUCUUAUAUCUUGGACUGUCUGAUUCUUUAGUUUGAUUCAGAAAAUCUUGAAGAACCUGGCCUCAAUAUGCAAAAUUGUUAGAAGAUAUACUCAUGAACUAAGCCUGCAGAAAUAAACUAGUGAGGUGUUUAAUGCUUAACAGAACCAAGUCCAGUUUUUUUAUAAGAUUGUAUGAUGCCAAGCUGAUCUACGAAAUUGUUUCAGAGUUAUUUUUUCAAAUCCAAGAUUACCAACUAUCUUAAUUCUAAAUUAUUUCGAUCAUCUAUGACUAAGUAGUUAGGAUUUAAAUCCUUGUCACUCCCUUAUUCAUACAUAUGAUUUUAGCAUAAAGUAAAGUGGGCUUGUGCAUGAUCCAUCCUUUAAUUGGCUCAAGCACCAAGGGGCUUGUUAGAGAUACGCUUUUAGGGCGGCUGGUUUUUGACAUGCAUAACUGCUUCAGAUUCAUAAAUGCCACAUUCGUCUAUCAAUCAUAUAAUCCUGAAAGGCCUAAUUCUUUUUUAGCCUAUAUUGUUACAAGGGAGUCUCAACAACUAAAUACUGUACAAUCAGCUAGUACAAAAAUACAUUCAGGAAUUAUCAGAAUCAACUUAACCUCUCCAAUAAUAAAUAAUACUGUCUAGCUAACCAACGAAACUAUUAUAGAUUUUUCAAAGCCAAUGUCAAAAAUAUUAAAUGACUUUCAUGGUUAUCAUAUAGAUAGAGUUGGCAUGAAAUAGUGAUUUAAUUCUAUUGAACUGAACUUAUUGAGAUUUAAUCUAUACUUUAGGCACAUCAGAAGUUCAAAACUCGAAAUAAGAGCAAGUGCAGAAACUUCAAGCCUCACC
rnacentral:lncRNA from 1 species